GAGCUCGCUUUGGCAACACAUAUACUAAAAUUGGAACAAUACAGAAAAGAUAAGCAUGGUACCAGUGCAAGGACUGACACAAGAAAUUCAUGAGGUAUUCCAUAUUUUU